UUAGGGAACUUUUACAAUGCGCGUAAGCGUGAUAAAGUAAGCCAGAGUGAUACAGAUAUAAUUUCUGUAUCUUUUGUUUGUUGUAAAAAGACAGACGAAUAAGGACUGGGCAAGAUCGGUGCCAGCCGCCGCGGUAAUCCCGACGGUCCGAGUCGCAGCCACAAUUAUUGGGUCUAAGACAUUCGUAGCUUGUUUGUUAAGUUUUUUGUGAAAUUCUAGAUCUUAAGUCUAGAGCGUGCAAGAAAUACUGGCAAACUGGAGACCGGAAGAAGCAAAAAGUACGACGGAGGUAGUGGUAAAAUAUGUUAAUCUUCGUCGGACUAACAACAGCGAAGGCAUUUUGCUAGUACGGAUCUGACAGUGAGGAAUGAAGGCUAGGGUCGCGAAACGG
rnacentral:rRNA from 1 species